rnacentral:rRNA from 1 species
UAUGGUAAUUUGCCGCAGCCGCGGUAAUACGGAGGAUCCGAGCGUUAUCCGGAUUUAUUGGGUUUAAAGGGAGCGUAGAUGGAUGUUUAAGUCAGUUGUGAAAGUUUGCGGCUCAACCGUAAAAUUGCAGUUGAUACUGGAUGUCUUGAGUGCAGUUGAGGCAGGCGGAAUUCGUGGUGUAGCGGUGAAAUGCUUAGAUAUCACGAAGAACUCCGAUUGCGAAGGCAGCCUGCUAAGCUGCAACUGACAUUGAGGCUCGAAAGUGUGGGUAUCAAACAGG